UACGUAGGGGGCAAGCGUUGUCCGGAUUUAUUGGGCGUAAAGCGCUCGCAGGUGGUUCGUUGCGUCGUGCGUGAAAGACCCCGGCUCAACUGGGGGAUGUCGUGCGAUACGGGCGGACUGGAGGCCAGUAGGGGGAUGCGGAAUUCCGGGUGUAGUGGUGGAAUGCGUAGAGAUCCGGAGGAACACCGAAGGCGAAGGCAGUGUCCUGGCGCGUAACUGACGCUGAGGUGCGAAAGCCAGGGGAGCGAACGGG
rnacentral:rRNA from 1 species